rnacentral:pre_miRNA from 1 species
GAGUUUUAGUAGAUCGUUCCGAUACCUCCGAUACUGCCGAUCACGAUACUCCGCCACUGCCUCCCUUCCGCAUGCAUAGUAUCGUGAUCGGCAGUAUCGGAGGUAUCGGAACGAUCUACUAAAACUC